rnacentral:rRNA from 1 species
UACAGAGGUCUCAAGCGUUGUUCGGAUUUAUUGGGCGUAAAGGGCGCGUAGGCGGUCCUUCAAGUCUCUCGUGAAAUCCCUCGGCUUAACUGAGGACGUGCGGGAGAUACUGCUGGGCUUGAGUCCGGAAGAGGGUGGUGGAAUUCCCAGUGUAGCGGUGAAAUGCGUAGAUAUUGGGAGGAACACCGGUGGCGAAGGCGGCCACCUGGGCCGGAACUGACGCUGAGGCGCGAAAGCGUGGGGAGCAAACGGG